CAGCAGUGGGGAAUAUUGCACAAUGGGGGAAACCCUGAUGCAGCGACGCCGCGUGGAGGAAGAAGGUCUUCGGAUUGUAAACUCCUGUUGUUGAGGAAGAUAAUGACGGUACUCAACAAGGAAGUGACGGCUAACUACGUGCCAGCAGCCGCGGUAAAACGUAGGUCACAAGCGUUGUCCGGAAUUACUGGGUGUAAAGGGAGCGCAGGCGGGAAGACAAGUUGGAAGUGAAAUCCAUGGGCUCAACCCAUGAACUGCUUUCAAAACUGUUUUUCUUGAGUAGUGCAGAGGUAGGCGGAAUUCCCGGUGUAGCGGUGGAAUGCGUAGAUAUCGGGAGGAACACCAGUGGCGAAGGCGGCCUACUGGGCACCAACUGACGCUGAGGCUCGAAAGUGUGGGUAGCAAACAGGAUUAGAUACCCUGGUAGUCCACACUGUAAACGAUGAUUACUAGGUGUUGGAGGAUUGACCCCUUCAGUGCCGCAGUUAACACAAUAAGUAAUCCACCUGGGGAGUACGACCGCAAGGUUGAAACUCAAAGGAAUUGACGGGGGCCCGCACAAGCAGUGGAGUAUGUGGUUUAAUUCGAAGCAACGCGAAGAACCUUACCAGGUCUUGACAUCCGAUGCAUAGUGCAGAGAUGCAUGAAGUCCUUCGGGACAUCGAGACAGGUGGUGCAUGGUUGUCGUCAGCUCGUGUCGUGAGAUGUUGGGUUAAGUCCCGCAACGAGCGCAACCCUUAUGGUCAGUUACUACGCAAGAGGACUCUGGCCAGACUGCCGUUGACAAAACGGAGGAAGGUGGGGAUGACGUCAAAUCAUCAUGCCCUUUAUGACUUGGGCUACACACGUACUACAAUGGCGUUAAACAAAGAGAAGCAAGACCGCGAGGUGGAGCAAAACUCAGAAACAACGUCCCAGUUCGGACUGCAGGCUGCAACUCGCCUGCACGAAGUCGGAAUUGCUAGUAAUCGCAGAUCAGCAUGCCGCGGUGAAUACGUUCCCGGGCCUUGUACACACCGCCCGUCACACCAUGAGAGCCGGGGGGACCCGAAGUCGGUAGUCUAACCGCAAGGAGGACGCCGCCGAAGGUAAAACUGGUGAUUGGGGUGAAGUCGUAACAAGGUAGCCGUAGGAGAACCUGCGGCUG
rnacentral:rRNA from 1 species